AGGUGGCGGAAAUGUACCAUAAGCUAGUUUGCCAACCGCCAUUAAACACGAAAGAAGAAAAAGAAGCAUGGCAGAUGCAACGCAACGUUGACUCCUGGCUAUAUUUUGAGAGAGUGGAACGCGGCCCACUUGGAUGUGAUGUUAUUCCCAGCCUGGACAUCUGGUUUCCAAGUUGGAUCAACAGUCGAAUGGAUCAAGUGAUUCCAUGCUCUCAGCUGGGUCCAGGGAUGCCAUGUCUCCAUCAGGUGAUUCCCCACUCUGGCCAGGAUCUAGGGAUGCUGCAGCUUGAAUUGGAUCAAGUGAUUCCCCACUCUGGCCAGGAUCUAGGGAUGCCCCAUUCUGCAGUAGAUUCAGCGAUCCCUCACUUUUAGUUGGUUUACUAGGUCAUCAGGGUCGCCUGCAUAAAAAUGGGCUGGGACAGCAUAGUCGUCCAGCCUACUGUCGAGAAGGAUGAGCUUGUCAUUUUUUUCUGACACCCCAAUUAUCUCAAGUUCUUCCUCCUGGAUCUGCCGUGAAAAAUCGUGUACUGUGGAACCACAUUUAAUCCGCAGAUCCAGGAUGGGCACCUGUCCUCUGGUCAUCCUGGCGACUUCAACCUGGAAAAUGACACACAGUCGAGGACAAUACAGGUCUCUGAUUGUGAUAGAGGGGUGAUGAGCCAGGUGCACAUUGGGCAGUACAUUGGAUGCCUCCCGGAAUUUUU